GACCCCGUUUUAGUACCACUUCUUCUUUUUCUCAGAAUAAGUGGCUAUGCUAAGGGGGAAGAGCAGCAUCUGCUAUCAUCUGAAGGGGAAGGCGUCUCCAUCACCUUCUAUAUGAACUAGCAGGACAAUUCUUU